rnacentral:rRNA from 1 species
GACGGAGGGUGCAAGCGUUGCUCGGAAUCACUGGGCGUAAAGGGUGCGUAGGCGGUCUCGCAAGUCUGGCGUGAAAGCCCAAGGCUCAGCCUUGGAAGUGCGCUCGAAACGGCGAGGCUGGAGUGCCGGAGGGGAGAGUGGAAUUCCCGGUGUAGCGGUGAAAUGCGUAGAUAUCAAGAGGAACACCGGAGGUGAAGACGGGUUGCUGGGCUGACACUGACGCUGAGGCGCGAAAGCUAGGGUAGCAAACGGG